rnacentral:rRNA from 1 species
GAUUAAGUUAUUAAGGGCGCACGGUGGAUGCCUUGGCACUAGAAGCCGAUGAAGGACGUUACUAACGACGAUAUGCUUUGGGGAGCUGUAAGUAAGCUUUGAUCCAGAGAUUUCCGAAUGGGGAAACCCAGCAUGAGUUAUGUCAUGUUAUCGAUAUGUGAAUACAUAGCAUAUCAGAAGGCACACCCGGAGAACUGAAACAUCUUAGUACCCGGAGGAAGAGAAAGAAAAUUCGAUUCCCUUAGUAGCGGCGAGCGAAACGGGAAGAGCCCAAACCAACAAGCUUGCUUGUUGGGGUUGUAGGACACUCUAUACGGAGUUACAAAGGACGACAUUAGACGAAUCAUCUGGAAAGAUGAAUCAAAGAAGGUAAUAAUCCUGUAGUCGAAAAUGUUGUCUCUCUUGAGUGGAUCCUGAGUACGACGGAGCACGUGAAAUUCCGUCGGAAUCUGGGAGGACCAUCUCCUAAGGCUAAAUACUCUCUAGUGACCGAUAGUGAACCAGUACCGUGAGGGAAAGGUGAAAAGCACCCCGGAAGGGGAGUGAAAUAGAACCUGAAACCGUGUGCUUACAAGUAGUCAGAGCCCGUUAAUGGGUGAUGGCGUGCCUUUUGUAGAAUGAACCGGCGAGUUACGAUUUGAUGCAAGGUUAAGCAGUAAAUGUGGAGCCGUAGCGAAAGCGAGUCUGAAUAGGGCGUUUAGUAUUUGGUCGUAGACCCGAAACCAGGUGAUCUACCCUUGGUCAGGUUGAAGUUCAGGUAACACUGAAUGGAGGACCGAACCGACUUACGUUGAAAAGUGAGCGGAUGAACUGAGGGUAGCGGAGAAAUUCCAAUCGAACCUGGAGAUAGCUGGUUCUCUCCGAAAUAGCUUUAGGGCUAGCCUCAAGUGAUGAUUAUUGGAGGUAGAGCACUGUUUGGACGAGGGGCUCCUCUCGGGUUACCGAAUUCAGACAAACUCCGAAUGCCAAUUAAUUUAACUUGGGAGUCAGAACAUGGGUGAUAAGGUCCGUGUUCGAAAGGGAAACAGCCCAGACCACCAGCUAAGGUCCCAAAAUAUAUGUUAAGUGGAAAAGGAUGUGGCGUUGCCCAGACAACUAGGAUGUUGGCUUAGAAGCAGCCAUCAUUUAAAGAGUGCGUAAUAGCUCACUAGUCGAGUGACACUGCGCCGAAAAUGUACCGGGGCUAAACAUAUUACCGAAGCUGUGGAUUGUCCUUUGGACAAUGGUAGGAGAGCGUUCUAAGGGCGUUGAAGCAUGAUCGUAAGGACAUGUGGAGCGCUUAGAAGUGAGAAUGCCGGUGUGAGUAGCGAAAGACGGGUGAGAAUCCCGUCCACCGAUUGACUAAGGUUUCCAGAGGAAGGCUCGUCCGCUCUGGGUUAGUCGGGUCCUAAGCUGAGGCCGACAGGCGUAGGCGAUGGAUAACAGGUUGAUAUUCCUGUACCACCUAUAAUCGUUUUAAUCGAUGGGGGGACGCAGUAGGAUAGGCGAAGCGUGCGAUUGGAUUGCACGUCUAAGCAGUAAGGCUGAGUAUUAGGCAAAUCCGGUACUCGUUAAGGCUGAGCUGUGAUGGGGAGAAGACAUUGUGUCUUCGAGUCGUUGAUUUCACACUGCCGAGAAAAGCCUCUAGAUAGAAAAUAGGUGCCCGUACCGCAAACCGACACAGGUAGUCAAGAUGAGAAUUCUAAGGUGAGCGAGCGAACUCUCGUUAAGGAACUCGGCAAAAUGACCCCGUAACUUCGGGAGAAGGGGUGCUCUUUAGGGUUAACGCCCAGAAGAGCCGCAGUGAAUAGGCCCAAGCGACUGUUUAUCAAAAACACAGGUCUCUGCUAAACCGUAAGGUGAUGUAUAGGGGCUGACGCCUGCCCGGUGCUGGAAGGUUAAGAGGAGUGGUUAGCUUCUGCGAAGCUACGAAUCGAAGCCCCAGUAAACGGCGGCCGUAACUAUAACGGUCCUAAGGUAGCGAAAUUCCUUGUCGGGUAAGUUCCGACCCGCACGAAAGGCGUAACGAUUUGGGCACUGUCUCAACGAGAGACUCGGUGAAAUCAUAGUACCUGUGAAGAUGCAGGUUACCCGCGACAGGACGGAAAGACCCCGUGGAGCUUUACUGUAGCCUGAUAUUGAAAUUCGGCACAGCUUGUACAGGAUAGGUAGGAGCCUUUGAAACGUGAGCGCUAGCUUACGUGGAGGCGCUGGUGGGAUACUACCCUAGCUGUGUUGGCUUUCUAACCCGCACCACUCAUCGUGGUGGGAGACAGUGUCAGGCGGGCAGUUUGACUGGGGCGGUCGCCUCCUAAAAGGUAACGGAGGCGCUCAAAGGUUCCCUCAGAAUGGUUGGAAAUCAUUCAUAGAGUGUAAAGGCAUAAGGGAGCUUGACUGCGAGACCUACAAGUCGAGCAGGGUCGAAAGACGGACUUAGUGAUCCGGUGGUUCCGCAUGGAAGGGCCAUCGCUCAACGGAUAAAAGCUACCCCGGGGAUAACAGGCUUAUCUCCCCCAAGAGUUCACAUCGACGGGGAGGUUUGGCACCUCGAUGUCGGCUCAUCGCAUCCUGGGGCUGUAGUCGGUCCCAAGGGUUGGGCUGUUCGCCCAUUAAAGCGGUACGCGAGCUGGGUUCAGAACGUCGUGAGACAGUUCGGUCCCUAUCCGUCGUGGGCGUAGGAAAUUUGAGAGGAGCUGUCCUUAGUACGAGAGGACCGGGAUGGACAUACCUCUGGUGUACCAGUUGUCGUGCCAACGGCAUAGCUGGGUAGCUAUGUGUGGACGGGAUAAGUGCUGAAAGCAUCUAAGCAUGAAGCCCCCCUCAAGAUGAGAUUUCCCAACUUCGGUUAUAAGAUC